rnacentral:tRNA from 1 species
GGGAGUUUAGCUCAGAUGGUAGAGCGCAUGUUUGGGAAGUCAGCCACCCCAAACGUGAGGUCGGAGGUUCGAGCCCUUCAUCGCCCG